rnacentral:lncRNA from 1 species
GGUGGAUCCAGGAAGAUUCUUGUGCUUGCUGGUCAGCUCUUUUUGCUGAAUUGGUUUUCCAGGGUUAGUGAAAGUGAUGGGAAAUAUUUGAUCUCAACUUCUGGACUUUGCAUACACAUGCACAGACAUGCAUGUAUAUACCACAUAAAAUUUCAAAAUCAAUAAAAUUUUCACUAACAAUCUAACAUACAGGAGAAGAAAUGGCUCAGGAGUUAAGAGCACUGGCUGUUCUUCUAGAGCACCCAGGUUCAAUUUCUAGUACCUACAUCAUGGUUCAUAACUGUCUGUAGCAUUCCUGUGGUGCAGAUAUGCGUACAUGCAGGCAAAACAGCUGUGUACAUAAAAUGAAAUUAAACAAAAAAGCAAGCUAAUAUACGUGUGUAUUAAAAAUUUUAUAUAGCAACCACAUCAUUAAGAAAUGUUCCUAUAUUAAAGUUAAAAGUAUUUUAGUUGACACUGGAGAAUAACAAUAUUACCUAAUUACUGAAAUGAUGAAAUAAUUCAUUCAAAUAUGAAUGGGAAAGCUGAACAUUGUGGUAAACUCAGUGGUGUACACACAUGCAAUACCAGCACUUAGAAGCUAAGUCAGAAAGAUCAGAAGAUUUGAGACUAGCCACCCUGUCUCAAAAAGACAGCAAGGGGUCAGUGAGAUGGCACAGCAGAUGUUGUCAUUUGUUGCCAAGCCUGCUGAUCUGAGUGUAGUCUCUGGAACCCAUGUGUUAGAAUUCAAAAACUCAUUUUUCCACAGCUUAUCCUCUGACUUCCACACAGGCUGUAUAGACAAGCACAUUGUACUUGCAUACACACAUACACUUAUUUUUAAAUUUAGAUUUACUUAUUUUAUUCUAUGUAUGUGGAUGCUUUGCCUGCAUGUAUGUUUGUAUAUCAUGCAUGUGUCCAGGACCUGGAGAGGUUAGAAGAAGGCAUUAGAUACUCUGGAACUAGAGUUAGGGAUGUUUGUGCUGGGAACUGAACCCUAGGCUCUCUGCAAGAACAUUAAGUGCCAUUAGCUGCUGAGCCAUUUUUCCAGCCCCAUAUAAGUAAAUUAACAAAGCAAAACAAAACAAAACCUGAACAUUUGAAAACACUCAGAAAGUGUUUUAGGAACUAAAGAUAUGGCUUAGAAGUUAGGAGCAUCAGCUGUUGUUUCACAGGAGUAGAGAGUUUGGUUUCCUGCAUCCACAUGUGAUGGCUCACAACUACCUGCAGCUCCAACUCUAGGGGAUCUUUUGGCCUCCUUGGGCAUCUGCACACACAUGGAGACACAAACACCACAAUCUAAAUCUUACUGUGAAUAGUGUUAAGUAAGGGCUAGCAAGAUGGCUUAGCAGCUAAAGGUGCUUACAGCCUUAGCUUGGUUGCUAGAACCCAAGUGGUACAAGAAGAAAGCUUGACCAUAGUGUGAGUGUAUUCCAGCAAGUAAAAUAGUU